CAACGUGCCCACAGAGGGAUUGGGACAGUGCGCGUGUAAAAUGGGUGCAGACAUUUGUUGCGUAUGAACGUACAGAGCGUUUUACUCAGUUUAACAGUUGUGAGGUGAAAUACAAAGAGGAAAUACGUGUCAUACACAAUGCUUUAUUUACUUAGCUUAAACGACUAAGUUUCCGGACAAAAUACGAUAACAAAAGAUGCGAUUGAACUUGAGAAAACAAAUUAUUCGCAGACGCAAAUUUUUGCCAUGAGUCUGCGUAAACAGAAUUAUCGGCAAUGCCCCCCUACAGCUACAUAACGAAGGAGAAAUUUUCAAAAAUCAAGAAAUAAAAAGUCUGAGUUUUUCUUUGCUGAUACAAUGAAGUAAUCACAGCGUUAAGCAUUGAAUUGUUAUAGAAUUGAAUGAAACACGCGUUUGAGUUUCGCUGACCGUUCUGUGAUGAACAGGAUGGAAAAACCCAACGAGAAGAACAAGCACGCAAGAUGGUCGGAAGAAUAUAAGGCUAUCAGGAAGUUUUCACAAAAUUUUCCUGAAGUUGUGGAAGCUUUAAAAAUUGGUAAAUUCAGGGAAACUUUUCCACAAGUAAGUCUGCGUAUCAAUUGUGUGCUGCUAUAACAAGGCCGAUGUUCAUCAUUGCCUUAAUGGCAAUUGCUAAAUAUUAAACGUUGCUGGAACCUACAACACACAUUUUGCAAUUGAAGACAACAGACCUUAUCGCCGUUGAUCAGCAUAUUGAAAAUAUUUUGGAGGUGGUUACGAAUGAUCGAAAGACUGCAGAAGGUGUCAAUACGGAGUUAAUUAAAAAAUCUCGUAUGAUUACAAGUAUAAAUUUCUUUACCACAUUUGGCAGGUAAACAAAAAAUAGAAGUAAAACCCGUCGGUGUCGGUCAAUGAAAAUGAGUACUGGCGACGGUCUAUAAUAAAACCGUAUAUGGACUCACUAAAGGCUUCUUUACAACUACACUUUUCCAAUGAAAAUACUCCAGCUUUUUCACUGUCUAGAUUGCACCCACUGUAUUCUAUUAAAUAUUUCAGGUACAAAAGAACGCGAAGCAUUUUUAACAGAUCUAUGACCUAGAUAUGGGCAACGAACUCAUUCUUUGGUACAAUUUAUGGAAUAAAAAGAACUUGUCGGAAGAAUUGUAGGAUGUUGGAAAUUGUAAAUCUAUUUAAAGAAGAAAAGAAUUUUUAACAGCGAUACCAUGCACAACAGCGACUGUGGAGCGAUCGUUUAGUACACUUCGAACAGUAAAAACCUGGCUCAGAAGCACAACAGGAGAAGAAAGGCUUUCUAGACUAUGCCACAUGGGCGUCCAUAGAAAAGUCGUUACCGAGAACCGCAAGAUGAUUCAGGAGGAAAUAAUCGAAAAGUUUGCUUAAAAACCGAGGCGUUUGUUAUUAGCGUAAAAAUGAUUAGAUAAAAAAUAUGUAAAAAAAUUAA